GGGGUCCUCCACCACCACCACUCACAGAGGCUGAGCAGUUGGCCCUCAGCCAAAACAGUGGGCGCCCUGUGGCUGAAGGCAUCUCUGCGGGGACAUCCUCUGAGUCAAUAACCCCGCAAGACACAAGUGCCUACAUAAGAGUUGAUGGUGAUGGUGUACUGCAUCUGGUGCAGCCUCCUGUUGAGCCAGACCAACAUGCAGUUGAAAAUAAUGAGGAAACAUUGACAGCUGUUACAGAGGAGGAAGCAACAGAGACACUUUAUGAGGUUUACAUCUUACAAUGGAAAAUAUAACAAUUGAAUAAAAUGUGGUACUAUAAUAAAACCAUGGACUUUCUAUGUCUCUAACAGAGUGAUGAUGGAAAUGCAGAGGAAGAGGGUCCAGCCACUUCUCCAACAAAC